rnacentral:rRNA from 1 species
AGAGUUUGAUCAUGGCUCAGAUUGAACGCUGGCGGCAGGCCUAACACAUGCAAGUCGAACGGUAACAGGAAGAAGCUUGCUUCUUUGCUGACGAGUGGCGGACGGGUGAGUAAUGUCUGGGAAACUGCCUGAUGGAGGGGGAUAACUACUGGAAACGGUAGCUAAUACCGCAUAACGUCGCAAGACCAAAGAGGGGGACCUUCGGGCCUCUUGCCAUCGGAUGUGCCCAGAUGGGAUUAGCUAGUAGGUGGGGUAACGGCUCACCUAGGCGACGAUCCCUAGCUGGUCUGAGAGGAUGACCAGCCACACUGGAACUGAGACACGGUCCAGACUCCUACGGGAGGCAGCAGUGGGGAAUAUUGCACAAUGGGCGCAAGCCUGAUGCAGCCAUGCCGCGUGUAUGAAGAAGGCCUUCGGGUUGUAAAGUACUUUCAGCGGGGAGGAAGGGAGUAAAGUUAAUACCUUUGCUCAUUGACGUUACCCGCAGAAGAAGCACCGGCUAACUCCGUGCCAGCAGCCGCGGUAAUACGGAGGGUGCAAGCGUUAAUCGGAAUUACUGGGCGUAAAGCGCACGCAGGCGGUUUGUUAAGUCAGAUGUGAAAUCCCCGGGCUCAACCUGGGAACUGCAUCUGAUACUGGCAAGCUUGAGUCUCGUAGAGGGGGGUAGAAUUCCAGGUGUAGCGGUGAAAUGCGUAGAGAUCUGGAGGAAUACCGGUGGCGAAGGCGGCCCCCUGGACGAAGACUGACGCUCAGGUGCGAAAGCGUGGGGAGCAAACAGGAUUAGAUACCCUGGUAGUCCACGCCGUAAACGAUGUCGACUUGGAGGUUGUGCCCUUGAGGCGUGGCUUCCGGAGCUAACGCGUUAAGUCGACCGCCUGGGGAGUACGGCCGCAAGGUUAAAACUCAAAUGAAUUGACGGGGGCCCGCACAAGCGGUGGAGCAUGUGGUUUAAUUCGAUGCAACGCGAAGAACCUUACCUGGUCUUGACAUCCACAGAACUUUCCAGAGAUGGAUUGGUGCCUUCGGGAACUGUGAGACAGGUGCUGCAUGGCUGUCGUCAGCUCGUGUUGUGAAAUGUUGGGUUAAGUCCCGCAACGAGCGCAACCCUUAUCCUUUGUUGCCAGCGGUCCGGCCGGGAACUCAAAGGAGACUGCCAGUGAUAAACUGGAGGAAGGUGGGGAUGACGUCAAGUCAUCAUG